CCUAUUGGUGUCAAGGAUUCAGGCUAAAGGGUUUGAACUCAACAUGAUUAAUUAACUGCAAAGAGAAAUAAUUUUCAAUGAGAUGUUUGUACUCGUAACUAUUUGUUAUAGGAACUUUAAUAAACAAACAAGGCUCCCACUAUUUCUACGAAUCUCCCAUACCCCUCGGGUGGAGAAAUAAAAAUCUAUACACAUUUCUAGUAGAUACUUUGCUCCCACUGAUCCAUGUGCACCUCACCUAAUAGUUAUUGGUGAUGC
rnacentral:lncRNA from 1 species